UACGUAGGGGGCAAGCGUUGUCCGGAAUCAUUGGGCGUAAAGCGCGCGUAGGCGGCUAGAUCAGUCUGCUGUAAAAGUCAAAGGCUCAACCUUUGAAUGCCGGUGGAUACUGUCUAGCUAGAGUCCGGAAGAGGCGAGUGGAAUUCCUGGUGUAGCGGUGGAAUGCGCAGAUAUCAGGAGGAACACCGAUGGCGAAGGCAGUGGUCUGGGCCGAUACUGACGCUGAGGAGCGAAAGCGUGGGGAGCGAACAGG
rnacentral:rRNA from 1 species